rnacentral:rRNA from 1 species
GACGAACGCUGGCGGUGUGCCUAAUACAUGCAAGUAGGACGCAGUUGCGAACGGGUGAGUAACGCGUACGUAACUACCCAUUAGAGGUGGAUAACUAUUGGAAACGAUAGCUAAUACCCCAUACUAGUAGAUGGACCUGCGUUGUAUUAGCUAGUAGGUAGGGUUAUGGCCUACCUAGGCAACGAUUCAUAGCCGACUGGAGAGGGUGAGCAGACACGGUGGGACUGAGACAGGGCCCAGACGCCUACGGGUGGAAGCAGUAGGGAAUCUUAGGCAAUGGGGGGAACCGUGACCGAGAAACGUCGGGUGAGUAAGGAGGGUUUUAGGAUCGUAAAGCUCUGGUGUUAAGGAAUCGGUACUUAACCAGACAGGGACGGCUAACUACGUGCCAGCAGCCGCGGUAAUUC